UCUCCUGUAGCUCAGCGGUAGAGCGUCCGACCAAUGUGCGGAAGCCAGUCAUAAGUAGUCUACUCCUGUUGGGGGAA